UGGUAUAGGAUUCAUGCUAGGUAGCAGUGUAAAGGAAUCCUUUAGUCCUUCAAAGGAUUCCUUUGACAUGUUCCUAGCAUGAAUCCGAAUCUUACGGGAUUCACGAACAGACUGACGGGAAGGUUUCACUUCAAUGCCACAAAAUGGCGGCGCCCAAUUUACAUGGGGCGUCGCCGUCAAGAGGAUCGAAAGUGAAAUAUUAUACGGUCAUCAAUGGAAACUUCCGGAACAAGUUUUUGUUGGCAGUUACAACUUAGUUCUCAUCAUUGCAUGAGGACCUGGAUACGUCCAUUACAGGUGCCAGGAUUUAUGCAACCUGUCAUCACUGAUUGACUGAGUGAUGAACAAAAGAUGUUCUCAUCCAGGCAGACAAGUUUACAACAGCUUACCUGCAUAUCAUUGUAGAAUUUGAGAGAUAAUGUAAAGGCAAGCUAGUAGACAACUAUGGACAAGUGAAACUUUAUACAUUUGAAAUCCUUCAUAUUACUCUUUAUUUUCAUAUUCAUAGCCAUGCCAUUAUUUAUAAUAAGAAUAUCAAUAUAGUAGUACUAGUAUGCUAUGUAUUGUGUGACUGUGAAAUACUAACUGUUAAUGCAACAAAUAUUAUAGGCAUAUGUCCUUCAUCUUAUAACAUUGUUUCCAGAUGUAACAGGUUAUUGUCACUGCAAAGUAUUAUAUCAAUGCGCAGAUUGUCAUUGAGGUACAGGAAUCUAAGUGUAAAUGAAUAAGUCGCAUCUAAUGACGGCAUCGAAAUUCAUGUUGCAAACACAUUGAACAAAAUAAACACCAUUGCUUUUCUCAGAAUA